GUCAGUUUGUGCAAAGCAUGGGCCAAUACAGAAAACUCAACAGACACUGCGUCAUCUAUAUAUAUCUCUUUUCUUACGGAUACAGUUGCCAUCUCUAUGAGCUUCCUACUCCAUUUCCUAUUCGUUGCUUCUCUUUCUCUCUAUCACAGUAACAGUUCAUUAAGUGUACAAUUUACAUACAUCGAUAAUACCCAUACCGCUAAGUCCUAGAUAUUUCUGAUAGGAGCAAUUUUGUACUUUAUUGAGUCUUGAAAAUUGAAAAAGGUUUUAAUUACUUGAAUUUUUUAUUGAUGGAUUUUUUUUUUUAUAGUUUAUGUAGCCGAUCAUCUUAAAAGGAAUGGAGUCAACAGAUGUCGUAAUCUUUGAACAAGAUAUACCAUGAGAAGAAAUUGGUAGUCUUCAUCUGAUAAUUUUAUAAUAUGUAUAUUUUAAGCUGUCAAUUUUUCCUCAUUCAUUGCUUUUAGAUGCAUACACUAUUUUUCUUUCUAAACAAAUAGAGUUUGUUUUUGUCUGCUUCCUCUUGUUCCCUGAAAAUUAGAUUCUAAUUAUUUGAUACCCGCACGGCAUAUAUAGCUAGAAUUAAGUUUGGUCCAUUGAUUCCUAUAUGUACCUGGAUUUCAGCCCCUAUAUAUAUAUAUAUCCGCAUAUAUAAUCACAUACUAAUAAAACAUAGAUCCAAAAAUAUUUCUCUUACAGUCGUUGUUUGCAGAUGUAGCACCAUCAAGAUUCACAUGCAAAGGGCCAUUGGUGGUUAACUGAUGAAAUUAAUAGCCAUGGCUUUUUGAAGGUGAGAAUCUUGAUGAUGCUGCAUCAGCAAUAAAUGACUAUCGCUGUGAAGUUAUACUUCUAUUUCCACCAUACCGGCCAUAAAAUUGAAACGAUACAGUAAAAAUAGUAUGACUGAUGUGCAAGAUCAAUGACACGAAUUGAGAAACGGUCCACUUAUUUCCACCAUAGGCAAAGAGAGAGAUCAGUCACAGACUUGUGAAUUAAGAUUCUCUUAAAUUUAUUUCAGUUUUUUCUUGAUCGAGGCACUACUCUUUGAGGACUGAUUGAAAUGAGCUUGCUGACAGAUGAUGAGUGUGCAUAGAUCAGAGCUUGUCUACAGUUCUCUUUUUAAGUGAGAGAGAAGAGUUUGUGUACAUGUGUGUGUCUUUUUGACAGUUUUUAGAUGAAUUAUCAGCCUGUAUAGUGUCAAUAUCUUAAGAAAGAAAUAUUCAAAUUAUGGUUGAUUAUUUCAUGUAAAGUUCUUCCGAUUGCUAUUUGUCUCUGUUGAUCAUCAAAUAGUCCUAUAUGGGACUGUUUGUUUUUUGUUUUGUCUUUGAGGAGUCCAUGAGAUAUAUACAUAAUAUCAUAGAUCUUGAUGAA